UUAAGUUCAGCGGGUAGUCCUACCUGAUUUGAGGUCAAGCUUCGAUAACACGCGGCCGGACGGACCGGGCUCGCAGAGUUGGAGAGCGACGGGCAUCUACGAUCCACGCACUUCCAGCCCACGACGGUCAUUAUGACGUCGAAGAGGCCGUGCCACGCGAGGCUCGCACCCAACGCUAAUGCUUUUGAGGAGAGCCGACG
rnacentral:misc_RNA from 1 species